rnacentral:rRNA from 1 species
AUAAUCAUGGAGUAUAAUAAUUAAAUUUAAUAAAUUUAAUAUAACUAUUAAUAGAAUUAGGUUACUAAUAAAUUAAUAACAAUUAAUUUUAAAACCUAAGGGUAAACCUUUAUAUUAAUAAUGUUAUUUUUUAUUAUAUUUAUAAUAAGAAUAAUUAUUAAUAAUAAUAAACUAAGUGAACUGAAACAUCUAAGUAACUUAAGGAUAAGAAAUCAACAGAGAUAUUAUGAGUAUUGGUGAGAGAAAAUAAUAAAGGUCUAAUAAGUAUUAUGUGAAAAAAAUGUAAGAAAAUAGGAUAACAAAUUCUAAGACUAAAUACUAUUAAUAAGUAUAGUAAGUACCGUAAGGGAAAGUAUGAAAAUGAUUAUUUUAUAAGCAAUCAUGAAUAUAUUAUAUUAUAUUAAUGAUGUACCUUUUGUAUAAUGGGUCAGCAAGUAAUUAAUAUUAGUAAAACAAUAAGUUAUAAAUAAAUAGAAUAAUAUAUAUAUAUAAAAAAAUAUAUUAAAAUAUUUAAUUAAUAUUAAUUGACCCGAAAGCAAACGAUCUAACUAUGAUAAGAUGGAUAAACGAUCGAACAGGUUGAUGUUGCAAUAUCAUCUGAUUAAUUGUGGUUAGUAGUGAAAGACAAAUCUGGUUUGCAGAUAGCUGGUUUUCUAUGAAAUAUAUGUAAGUAUAGCCUUUAUAAAUAAUAAUUAUUAUAUAAUAUUAUAUUAAUAUUAUAUAAAGAAUGGUACAGCAAUUAAUAUAUAUUAGGGAACUAUUAAAGUUUUAUUAAUAAUAUUAAAUCUCGAAAUAUUUAAUUAUAUAUAAUAAAGAGUCAGAUUAUGUGCGAUAAGGUAAAUAAUCUAAAGGGAAACAGCCCAGAUUAAGAUAUAAAGUUCCUAAUAAAUAAUAAGUGAAAUAAAUAUUAAAAUAUUAUAAUAUAAUCAGUUAAUGGGUUUGACAAUAACCAUUUUUUAAUGAACAUGUAACAAUGCACUGAUUUAUAAUAAAUAAAAAAAAUAAUAUUUAAAAUCAAAUAUAUAUAUAUAUAUUUGUUAAUAGAUAAUAUACGGAUCUUAAUAAUAAGAAUUAUUUAAUUCCUAAUAUGGAAUAUUAUAUUUUUAUAAUAAAAAUAUAAAUACUGAAUAUCUAAAUAUUAUUAUUACUUUUUUUUUUAAUAAUAAUAAUAUGGUAAUAGAACAUUUAAUGAUAAUAUAUAUUAGUUAUUAAUUAAUAUAUGUAUUAAUUAAAUAGAGAAUGCUGACAUGAGUAACGAAAAAAAGGUAUAAACCUUUUCACCUAAAACAUAAGGUUUAACUAUAAAAGUACGGCCCCUAAUUAAAUUAAUAAGAAUAUAAAUAUAUUUAAGAUGGGAUAAUCUAUAUUAAUAAAAAUUUAUCUUAAAAUAUAUAUAUUAUUAAUAAUUAUAUUAAUAAUAUAUAUAAUUAUAUUAUAUAUUUUUUUUUAUAUAAUAUAAACUAAUAAAGAUCAGGAAAUAAUUAAUGUAUACCGUAAUGUAGACCGACUCAGGUAUGUAAGUAGAGAAUAUGAAGGUGAAUUAGAUAAUUAAAGGGAAGGAACUCGGCAAAGAUAGCUCAUAAGUUAGUCAAUAAAGAGUAAUAAGAACAAAGUUGUACAACUGUUUACUAAAAACACCGCACUUUGCAGAAACGAUAAGUUUAAGUAUAAGGUGUGAACUCUGCUCCAUGCUUAAUAUAUAAAUAAAAUUAUUUAACGAUAAUUUAAUUAAAUUUAGGUAAAUAGCAGCCUUAUUAUGAGGGUUAUAAUGUAGCGAAAUUCCUUGGCCUAUAAUUGAGGUCCCGCAUGAAUGACGUAAUGAUACAACAACUGUCUCCCCUUUAAGCUAAGUGAAAUUGAAAUCGUAGUGAAGAUGCUAUGUACCUUCAGCAAGACGGAAAGACCCUAUGCAGCUUUACUGUAAUUAGAUAGAUCGAAUUAUUGUUUAUUAUAUUCAGCAUAUUAAGUAAUCCUAUUAUUAGGUAAUCGUUUAGAUAUUAAUGAGAUACUUAUUAUAAUAUAAUGAUAAUUCUAAUCUUAUAAAUAAUUAUUAUUAUUAUUAUUAAUAAUAAUAAUAUGCUUUCAAGCAUAGUGAUAAAACAUAUUUAUAUGAUAAUCACUUUACUUAAUAGAUAUAAUUCUUAAGUAAUAUAUAAUAUAUAUUUUAUAUAUAUUAUAUAUAAUAUAAGAGACAAUCUCUAAUUGGUAGUUUUGAUGGGGCGUCAUUAUCAGCAAAAGUAUCUGAAUAAGUCCAUAAAUAAAUAUAUAAAAUUAUUGAAUAAAAAAAUAAUAUAUAUUAUAUAUAUUAAUUAUAAAUUGAAAUAUGUUUAUAUAAAUUUAUAUUUAUUGAAUAUAUUUUAGUAAUAGAUAAAAAUAUGUACAGUAAAAUUGUAAGGAAAACAAUAAUAACUUUCUUAAAAAAUAAAAAUGGAAAGAAUUAAAUUAAUAUAAUGGUAUAACUGUGCGAUAAUUGUAACACAAACGAGUGAAACAAGUACGUAAGUAUGGCAUAAUGAACAAAUAACACUGAUUGUAAAGGUUAUUGAUAACGAAUAAAAGUUACGCUAGGGAUAACAGGGUAAUAUAACGAAAGAGUAGAUAUUGUAAGUUAUGUUUGCCACCUCGAUGUCGACUCAACAUUUCCUCUUGGUUGUAAAAGCUAAGAAGGGUUUGACUGUUCGUCAAUUAAAAUGUUACGUGAGUUGGGUUAAAUACGAUGUGAAUCAGUAUGGUUCCUAUCUGCUGAAGGAAAUAUUAUCAAAUUAAAUCUCAUUAUUAGUACGCAAGGACCAUAAUGAAUCAACCCAUGGUGUAUCUAUUGAUAAUAAUAUAAUAUAUUUAAUAAAAAUAAUACUUUAUUAAUAUAUUAUCUAUAUUAGUUUAUAUUUUAAUUAUAUAUUAUCAUAGUAGAUAAGCUAAGUUGAUAAUAAAUAAAUAUUGAAUACAUAUUAAAUAUGAAGUUGUUUUAAUAAGAUAAUUAAUCUGAUAAUUUUAUACUAAAAUUAAUAAUUAUAGGUUUUAUAUAUUAUUUAUAAAUAAAUAUAUUAUAAUAAUAAUAAUUAUUAUUAUUAAUAAAAAAUAU